CAAACGAGUUAGCUGCACUUCCUCUGAAAACAGUAUCCGCGUACAUGACGUCAUAUAUGGUCACGUGGUGGGACGCAAUGAAUGUAAUACACGGCCUACAACAAACUGUACUGCUCCAAAUGGAUUCUGCAAAGUUGCCGAAAAGGUAGAGGGAAGACCGCUUUCAGAAUUGUUACGUUCAAACGACACUAUAUUUCCUCCCCCAUGUGGAGGGAAGGAUAUAUACAUCAUUGUCAAUUAUUCAUGUAUGAAGAGCCC